GGGCGUUUGGUUUAGUGGUAUAAUGUUCGCUUCGCACUUUUCCGCAUGCAUGCGAAAGGUCGCCGGUUCGAUUCCGGCAUCGUCCA
rnacentral:tRNA from 1 species